GCCUGGCUGGCUCAGUCGGAAGAGCAUGCAACUCUUGAUUUUGGGGUUGUGAGUUCAAGCCCCAUGUUAGGUG
rnacentral:tRNA from 1 species